GCUUAUUUUAGAGGGUGCUGUAUUUUAUUCAUGUAUUCAUUUUUGUUCAUGCUGUCUCUUUUGCUUUGGCUACCAGGAAGCUCUGUCAAGUUGGGUGUUCAACUAAUACAACUAGGACAUGAAGAACCACAGAUAUAUAUUGGACUAUCCUCUCUCCCAUGCUGAUAUUUCAUUUAGAUUUAUAAUUUUGAGUUUUGAGUUUUGAAUUUUCAUUUUUGUUUCUAUUAUAUGUUUUAAAGUCACCUUAAAUCCCAUGCCCUAAAUUCAUCCUGGGGAAUCAGCCCAGAAACUUCCAGGGAUGGCUCUUGGAAGGCUUCUGUUGAUAUAGAAACUUGGGGUACAUUUGGUUAUGAUGCCAAAAGUUACAGAAAAGUAUCAGUUUUUUUUAUGUGCCCAUUUUAUUAAAGAGCAAGACUCGGAAGAUAGGAUGUUUAUAGGAAGUGAAGAGAUAUAUGACAGCCAGUAUAAUAAGGGACAAAAAUAAAUUAUAGAGAGUCAUUUUAGUGUUCACAAAGGGUUUCUGCAUUCUUCUAUUCUAAGAGGGAAUGUUUUAUAUCUCAUUUAUGUAUUGCUUCACUAAUGAGUAGGGAAAUGAAGUACCUUGACCAGUCUGCUAAUAUCUCUAUAAAGGUAAGAUUUAUGAGUAAAAAAACAUAGGAUUUGCCCAUUUCUCAGAAUAUAGACUGUUAGAUAUAGAGCAGUACUAGAUUAUAGACAAUGACCUAGUUUCCAUAGCAACAACAUUCAUGAUCUUAUCUCAUUCUUUCCUGAGUUACCCAAUUUAACUGCCCUAUCCCUUUCAUCACACCUCCCCCUCAUUAAACACUUACCAGAUCCUUUUCUGUUGCUAUGUAGGCAGUAUAAUAGCUUUCACAGCUGCUUGCUGAAUGAAAUGGGAAAAACACACACAUACUUAGGGAGUGUGUGUAAGGAGAGGAAUUUCAGGAUCAAGGGAUGCAAGUGGCAGGAUAAAGUAAUCUUUUCAAGUUUUGAAGCCCCCAUAUGCCUACAGGAAUACACUGCUUAGCAAGCCAUGCCAGGCAGUUGCCCCUGGAGCCACAUCACCAUGGCUGAAAACACCACAGGAGCGAUGGCCACAGACUCUGUGCACUGCUGAGCUCUGCUGGAGAAGGUAAUUGCUGCUUUGCUAUUUGACUUUCAACUACAUAUGGUAGUCUAGGUGAUUCAUCUCUAACUGACCCUGUGCUUUUACCUUCUACCCUAGAGACUCAGGUUCAUGGAUGAAAACUUCAGACAGUCCAGGUUUAGGAAAAGUGUCUACACUUCCUAUGCUUGGGGGUGUUAAAAAGAAUGUGUGUUUUCUGGAACUUAUAACCUAGAUGAAUGGACCCUGCUUUUAAUUUAUCUUGAGGUACUAGCUAGGAAGCAAUAAUGUAAUGAUGCAUAUAUUUUUGAAUAUUUAAUUUUAUUGAAGUAUACUUGAUUUACAAUGUUGUGUUAAUUUCUGCUAUACAGCAAAGUAAUUCAGCUGUACAUAUACAUAUUCAUUCCCAUAGAGGCUAAUAAUAUAUAUUCCCAGUAAAAGCAAAACUUCAUUCCUCUUCUUUCUUCCCCCUUUUCCCACUGGCUAGGUAGAAAUGUGAAGAAUAAUUAAUUGAGAUUUGAUGGUUAUUAACCUCUACUCCCUGUGCUGAUGAAUUAGCGUGAACCCUGAGAAUAUAUGGGGUCUACCCCUCCAGCCCUGGUCACACUGCCAUCUUAGAUUGAGAAAGAUGGUUUUCAGCUGGAAUUGGGCAAUAGUUACAGAUUUCCUGCCUGGAAUAACUUGAUAGUGACUCCAAAUUUAAACUUUGAGAGGAAAUGGGUCUCUUUUAGUUAUAUACACCCUCCAAAGAAAGGUAACUGGCCAGGGCAGGCCUGGGUCCAUGGCCUUGAAUCUCCCACAUAGGCCUUGAACACAUUAUUAGUCAUAAAUCACUUUGCUCUCACCGAAUAGUCUAGAUGUCCUUCUUGCAGCUAAACCCAGGAAAGCAAGUGGUGUAUGUACUGGCUUCAUCCCCUGGCUCCUAUUAUACUCACCACUGAGGCAUAUAAAGAAACAGAAACAGCCUUAGAGAGUCUAAGGGUUGUUUGGCUUUAAACAUUUUUUAUCUUCUAAUUGAAUUAGUGUAAAAACAGUAGUUAAAAUCUACCCUUGGCUGUUGUCAUGAAAAUCACAAUAACAAAUUAGCCUAAAAUAGCCAAUUUUCUGUGGUUUCCAAGGAUACAGCCACAAUUAGAAUUGUCAUCUGCCAGUCAACUUUUCUUUUACUUUUCAGAGGACAUUAAAACAAAACCCUAGAAAGGGAAAGGAUGGGGGAUAUUUUUUUCUUGCUAAAUAUAUGUUAGGAGAAAAGGGGGGAAAUUUCUGAAACAGAUUCUUUGAUUCUUUUCAGAUCAGUUUAAGGAAAAUGGCUGAAUUGAGUCUGGUCCCUGAGAAGGCAUUUAGUUAAAAACAAAAGCUCACAGUCUUGUGGCCCUUUUAGAGUCAGGGUGGCCAAGUCUUCUAACUCAUAGGACCAUGUCCUUCCCUGUCUUAUUUUAGCUUUCAUUGAUUGACUGCUCUGCCGACAAUCUCUUUUUAACUCCUUCUAACCAUUUUAUGAGGAUGUAUGCUAGACCCUGGCCCACUAAACAUCCAUUCCACCUUUUUUUGGACAAUAGCUUUUGACUUCCUUUUAGGAAAUUACCUUUUCCCCAUCUUAUACUAUCCAGUUAGACAGUAAAUUAAGAUGCUCUAGCCAUAGUGGGAAUGUGAACCAAAUCAUACCAUUCACAGUUAACCCUGGGUCAAUAAAUCUUCAGCUGAGUUUUAAAGUUACUGAAAAUUGCUAGAAUCUUUCUGCUUUGUGGAUGUCUCCAUGAGGCUAUAGUGUUCCUACUAACUUGUCCACAAUGUUAUCUUGUUUUCUGUGCUCCUUUGUUCAUUCUGUUAAUUAUUGGUAUCCUUCUAACAAGUGUCUAUUCCUGCUUAUAUCAGUCAGAACCAAAAAUAAUGCCAAGUGUUAUUAUUCUAUUUUAAUUUGAGCAAAAUGAGGUUCAAUUAAAUUAAAUCUUUUGUCCAAGACAAGUCACUUAGUGAUAGAGACUGAAUUCAAACUUGCAUCCACUCCAUUCCCCAACCAUUUCCUUUUAUGUGAAUUAAUAAAAUAUAUUCCUGGUUAUACCCCAAUUCAAGGACUUGUUUUUAGCAGUGGAAUCAGGGAUGACUCCUUGGAAGAAAAUUUUCAUUGCUCAUACUUAACUUUUUUUUGACAUGUUGAGUCUUUACACAUAUUUGAUGAUUUUUCCCUGCCUAUUCUUUUCAUCUGUGUGCAGGAAGUGACACUAAUCAUCUCAUGCACCAGAAUCUGAUACAGUUUCUUUCAAACUCUAUGAAAAUAUCUGUUUCUUCCCUUCCCUUCCUUUUUCUUCUUUCUCUUUUCUUUCUUUCUCCUAGAGUCCUUACCUGUGAGUAUCAGAAUAGAAGAAGAAAUAGGAAUGUUUAAAAUGAAGAAUAUUGGAAAGACCAUAGGCUUAAGAACUAUGCCGAACCAGAUUUAAAUUCUAGCUCCACUAAUUUCUAGCUUGCUAUUGGGGGCAUCGCUUUAUAGUUUUAAGAAGUUUAAAUUCAUUAUAAUUUUUGUUGCCAGUGUAGAAAUCCAGGACAUAGCUGUGUUUGGAGGGAGGCUGCUCAAUGGUCUAACUGCUACAUCUGGUCUACCUUGACAUUGCCGAGCUCCCUGGAGCUGUCACUGUCUUUCCAAAAGCCCUGUUACUUGGAAGAAGCCAAGUUCAAAGCAGAGCCUCUUCCCUGCACUUGGUGAUCUGCCUGAGGCAGACUGUGAGUAUUCUUGAGUUUUUGUGCCAGGUGAAUCUUGGCACCUAAACUAGAGGCUCUAACGAACUCUGAGGUUUGUCCCUCAAACACUUUCCCUGUGGUUCCUGGUAUGCCAAGCCUGAAGCAUUAGCCAUGUCUCCUUGCAGUCCCUUCCUGCCCUCUCUAUGUGCUCUUCUCCUCCACAGUGGAGGUGAAUGGAAGCUGAGAGGGAUAGUCCCUUCUUCUUUUCUUGAUGAAACUCAUUUAAGCGUCAGGUGAGUAGCUAACACCUUUCACUAGUUGUAUAGUAAUAUGUGAUAGACUGAAUUUACUUCGGGGGACUUUAGGAGCUGUGAGUUAAAGAUUUGUAUUUAGGUUGACAUGCCUCUCAAGCCAGAGUCCUUUUGUUAUUGUUGAGGCUGCUUUUGGAAUUAGGUAAAUGAAUACAAUUAUAUGUGUGUGAGAGAACCUAAGACAUCCCUUACUGGUCAAUGAAUCCUAAUUUUCCUUCACCCCCUCUCCCACCCCAUUGUCCUUAUUCAGGAUGUGAGCAUCAUAAUAGAAAAAAAAUCAAAUGCUUAAAAUAUAAAAUAUUGGAGAGCAUGAAUUUUGGUGCCAGACAGAGAAAGGUUUAAAAAUCUAGCUCUACUUAUUGCUAGCUUGUUGUUGGGGAAAAAUUACUUUCCCUUCAUGAACAGCAGUAUGUGACCUUAUUCUACUCUAAAGGGUGAUAAUCCAUAUCUUUUAGUACUGUUGUUAGUGAUAAAUGUUAUUUAUUAUUGUACAUUGCACAGAGUAAGCAACUGUGUAAGUCAACAAUAGAUACAUAAGUCAAGCCGAAAUUUACCAGAAACUUACCCCUCGUUUACAGCUGACAUAUUUUUAAAAAUGUGAAUAUAUUUUUGAGUGGAUGAAAUGUUCAUGAUUGCUAGUUGCCCUUCUUGUAGGCUCUUUAUUAUAUAUUGCUAUCAUCUUUAUUUUCUUUGGCUGCUGUAACAAAUUACCAUAGCCCUGGUGGCCUAAAAAACAAUUUAUUUCUUACAGAUGUGAAGGUCAAAAGUCUCAAAUAAACCUAAUGGUGCUAAAAUCAAAGUGCUAGCAGGGUUAGUUCCUUCUGAAGGCUCUUUCCAUGUCCUUACCUUUUUCAUCUUCCAAUAGUCACCUUUUUUGGCUCAUGGCCCCUCUCUCCAUCUUCAAAGCAUCUCCCCUCUGACCUCUGCUCCAUCCUCACAUCUUUCUCUGAAUAUGUACCGACUGCCUCACUCCUCCAAGAACCCUCGUGAUUACAUUGGACACACCCAGAAAAUUCAGGAUAAUCUUCCCAUCUCAUUAUCCUUAUCUGCAAAGUCUUAAAAAUAAAAGGUCAGGAGUUUCUGUUGUGGCUCAGCAGUU
rnacentral:lncRNA from 1 species